rnacentral:rRNA from 1 species
AUACGGAGGGGGCUAGCGUUGUUCGGAAUUACUGGGCGUAAAGGACGCGUAGGCGGGUUGGCAAGUCAGAUGUGAAAUCCUACAGCUUAACUGUAGAACUGCAUUUGAAACUGCUAACCUAGAGUAUGGGAGGGGGAGAUGGAAUUAGUGGUGUAGGGGUAAAAUCCGUAGAUAUCACUAGGAAUACCGAAAGCGAAGGCGAUCUCCUGGAACAUAACUGACGCUAAGGCGUGAAAGCGUGGGGAGCAAACAGGAUUAGAAACCCUAGUAGUCC